rnacentral:rRNA from 1 species
CCAGACUCCUACGGGAGGCAGCAGUGGGGAAUAUUGGGCAAUGGGCGAAAGCCUGACCCAGCAACGCCGCGUGAAGGAAGAAGGCUUUCGGGUUGUAAACUUCUUUUGACAGGGAAGAGCAGAAGACGGUACCUGUCGAAGAAGCCCCGGCUAACUACGUGCCAGCAGCCGCGGUAAUACGUAGGGGGCAAGCGUUAUCCGGAUUUACUGGGUGUAAAGGGGGCGCAGACGGCAGCGCAAGCCAGGAGUGAAAGCCCGGGGCCCAACCCCGGGACUGCUCUUGGAACUGCGCGGCUGGAGUGCAGGAGGGGCAGGCGGAAUUCCUGGUGUAGCGGUGAAAUGCGUAGAUAUACGGAGGAACACCAGUGGCGAAGGCGGAUUGCUGGACAGUAACUGACGCUGAGGCGCGAAAGCGUGGGGAGCAAACAGGAUUAGAUACCCUAGUAC